rnacentral:SRP_RNA from 1 species
GCUGGGUGUAUAAUCUAUGCUACCAGGGAGGCAAAGGCUAGUGGAUCUCUUGAGCUCUGGAGUUCUGUGAUGCAGUAAGCUAAGCCCAUCAGAUGUCCACAUUAAGCACAGCACCAAUAUGAUGAUUCCCCUAGGAGUGGAAGGAGUGAGUACUAGGUUGCCUAAGGAGGACCAAACUGGCCCAGGUCAGAAACAGAACAGGUCAAAGCUCCCAUGCUGAUCAAUAGUGGGGUCACCCAUGAGUGAUUCUUAUACUUCUACUUUUAGUGAGCUAGGAAGACCCAGUCUCA